rnacentral:rRNA from 1 species
ACGAACGCUGGCGGCGUGCCUAAUACAUGCAAGUCGAGCGGAAUGAUGAAGAAGCUUGCUUCUUCUGAUUUUAGCGGCGGACGGGUGAGUAACACGUGGGCAACCUACCUUGUAGAUUGGGAUAACUCCGGGAAACCGGGGCUAAUACCGAAUAGUCCAUUUUGCUUCAUGGCGAGAUGUUGAAAGACGGUUUCGGCUGUCACUACAAGAUGGGCCCGCGGCGCAUUAGCUAGUUGGUAGGGUAAUGGCCUACCAAGGCGACGAUGCGUAGCCGACCUGAGAGGGUGAUCGGCCACACUGGGACUGAGACACGGCCCAGACUCCUACGGGAGGCAGCAGUAGGGAAUCUUCCACAAUGGACGAAAGUCUGAUGGAGCAACGCCGCGUGAGUGAAGAAGGUUUUCGGAUCGUAAAACUCUGUUGUAAGGGAAGAACACGUACGAGAGUAACUGCUCGUACCUUGACGGUACCUUAUUAGAAAGCCACGGCUAACUACGUG